rnacentral:rRNA from 1 species
GACGAACCGAGCGAACGUUGUUCGGAAUCACUGGGCUUAAAGGGCGCGUAGGCAGGCUGUCAAGUCUGGGGUGAAAUCCCGCGGCUCAACCGCGGAACUGCCUCAGAUACUGACGGCCUCGAGGGAGGUAGGGGCGAGCGGAACUAAUGGUGGAGCGGUGAAAUGCGUUGAUAUCAUUAGGAACUCCGGUGGCGAAGGCGGCUCGCUGGACCUUUUCUGACGCUGAGGCGCGAAAGCUAGGGGAGCAAACGGG